AGCAUCCUACGGGAGGCAGCAGUGGGGAAUAUUGCACAAUGGGCGCAAGCCUGAUGCAGCCAUGCCGCGUGUAUGAAGAAGGCCUUCGGGUUGUAAAGUACUUUCAGCAGUGAGGUAAGGUGGGUAUGUUAAUAGCAUACUCAUUUGACGUUAGCUGCAGAAGAAGCACCGGCUAACUCCGUGCCAGCAGCCGCGGUAAUACGGAGAGUGCGAGCGUUAAUCGGAAUUACUGGGCGUAAAGCGCAUGCAGGUGGUUUGUUAAGUCAGAUGUGAAAGCCCGGGGCUCAACCUCGGAAUUGCAUUUGAAACUGGCAAACUAGAGUACUGUAGAGGGGGUAGAAUUUCAGGUGUAGCGGUGAAAUGCGUAGAGAUCUGAAGGAAUACCGGUGGCGAAGGCGGCCCCCUGGACAGAUACUGACACUCAGAUGCGAAAGCGUGGGGAGCAAACAGGAUUAGAUACCCUGUAG
rnacentral:rRNA from 1 species